UAUUUUAUCUGUUGCCUAUUUAUGUAUUUAGAGACAGAGUCUUGCUCUGUAGCUCUGGCUGGCUUGCUAAUUACAAUGUAGCCCAAGCUAGCCUCAAACUCAUGUCAACCCUCAUGUUUCAGCUUC
rnacentral:miRNA from 1 species